CAGCUAGUUGGCAGGGUAAGAGCCUACCAAGGCAGAGAUCGGUAGCCGGCCUGAGAGGGCACACGGCCACACUGGCACUGAAACACGGGCCAGACUCCUACGGGAGGCAGCAGUGGGGAAUCUUGCACAAUGGGGGAAACCCUGAUGCAGCGACGCCGCGUGAGCGAUGAAGCCCUUCGGGGUGUAAAGCUCUUUCGGUAGGGAAGAUGAUGACGGUACCUGCAGAAGCAGCUGCGGCUAACUACGUGCCAGCAGCCGCGGUAAUACGUAGGCAGCGAGCGUUGUUCGGAGUUACUGGGCGUAAAGGGUGUGUAGGCGGUUCUUUAAGUUUGGUGUGAAAUCUCCCGGCUUAACCGGGAGGGUGCGCCGAAUACUGAGGGACUUGGAGUGCGGGAGAGGAAAGUGGAAUUCCUGGUGUAGCGGUGAAAUGCGUAGAUAUCAGGAGGAACACCGGUGGUGUAGACGGCUUUCUGGACCGUAACUGACGCUGAGACACGAAAGCGUGGGUAGCAAACAGGAUUAGAUACCCUGGUAGUCCACGCCCUAAACGAUGCAUAUUUGGUGUGGGUCAUUCAGUUGAUCCGUGCCGGAGCUAACGCGUUAAAUAUGCCGCCUGGGGAGUACAG
rnacentral:rRNA from 1 species